GACAGAGGGUGCAAACGUUGUUCGGAAUUACUGGGCGUAAAGCGCACAUAGGCGGCCUGAUAAGUCGGGUGUGAAAGCCCUGGGCUCAACCCAGGAAGUGCACUCGAAACUGUCAGGCUUGAAUAUGGAAGAGGGUCGCGGAAUUCCCGGUGUAGAGGUGAAAUUCGUAGAUAUCGGGAGGAACACCAGUGGCGAAGGCGGCGACCUGGGCCAAUAUUGACGCUGAGGUGCGAAAGCGUGGGGAGCAAACAGG
rnacentral:rRNA from 1 species